AACACAUGCAAGUCGAGCGGAAAGGCCCUUCGGGGUACUCGAGCGGCGAACGGGUGAGUAACACGUGAGUAACCUGCCCUGGACUUUGGGAUAACCCUCGGAAACGGGGGCUAAUACCGGAUAUUGACUUCCUGCCGCAUGGUUGGGGGUGGAAAGUUUUUUCGGUCUGGGAUGGGCUCGCGGCCUAUCAGCUUGUUGGUGGGGUGAUGGCCUACCAAGGCGACGACGGGUAGCCGGCCUGAGAGGGCGACCGGCCACACUGGGACUGAGACACGGCCCAGACUCCUACGGGAGGCAGCAGUGGGGAAUAUUGCACAAUGGGCGGAAGCCUGAUGCAGCGACGCCGCGUGAGGGAUGACGGCCUUCGGGUUGUAAACCUCUUUCAGUAGGGACGAAGCGUGAGUGACGGUUACUACAGAAGAAG
rnacentral:rRNA from 1 species